rnacentral:lncRNA from 1 species
UGGAUACCCCAAUUACCUUGAUUUGAUUUUUACACAUUAUAUGUAGCAAAAUAUCACAUGUACUCUAAAAAUAUGUACCUCUAUUUUGUGUCAAUUUAAAAAACCUUCUAUUAUACAAUGACACACCAUUUCAUAUCCACUAGAUUGGCUAUAAUUCGAAAGUCAGAUAAAAAAUGUCGACAAAGAUACGGAGAAAUGAGACUUUUCAUACACUGCUAGUUGAAUGUAAAAUGGCACAGCUGCUUUGUUGAACUUCCUGGUAGUUCCUUUAAUAGUUAAACAUAGAGUUGCCAUAUAAGCUAGUGAUAGAUGCAAGAGGCAGUUAAAGGAACCUACACAGGGUCUUACCUGGGCAUGCCCGCAACAGACUGGGGGCCUGCAUGCACCCUGAAAAAAUGGGGUGGAGCCACCAAGGAUUUUCACCUUAUGCAGCGGGAGAAGCCUAGCCUCUUCACCUUUGUGUGUGGUGGCCUGGUAUUCACUCUAUGAGUUGGGAGCCUGUUGGCAGGACCCCUUCUUUCUUUGCUGUGGGCUUUCUUUUUGCUUAAUAUAUCUGCCCUCCUCAUCCUUCAAUGUGUCUGUGUGUCUAAUUUUCCCUGGUCAUGAGUCAAGAGCCUGGAUUUUAGCUGAACUAAGGAGCAAAAAAUCCUGCAUCACUAGCAUUUCCACCCUUAGGUAUAUACCCAAGGUAAAUGAAAAUACAUGUCCAUACAGAAACUUGUACAUAAAUGUUUAUAGAAGUAGUAUUCAUAAUAAUGAAAAGGUGAGAACAACCCAAAUGCUCAUCAACUGAUGAAUGGAUAAAAUGUAAUAUCUUCAUACAAUGGAAUAUUGUUUGCCACAAAAAGGAAUGACACAUAAAUACAUGCUACCAUUGGGGUGCAGAAAACAGUUCCUCAAAAUAUAGUGCUUGGGCAUAUUGAAUGCUUUUGCAAAUUAAAAGGCCUCAGAAAUAAGCCUCAGAAUUAAGAUCCUUCUAACAUUGUCUUGUUCCUCCCCCAACCCCAAGUACAGGGAACAAUUUUUGACUGGAACUUCCUUAUCUGACCAAGAAAGCUUAUUACCAAAAGAAACACAAUUACCUUCUAUCCUCUCCCUGAAAUCUCAUUAUCUAUUGCAGAAAAGAAGACUGAGGAAUGCAACCACAACUGAAUGGACUUUUCCACAAGAUAAUUUCUGCCUCUUGGACCCAUUCAAAUUCCAAAGAGAAUCAUUUAGAAAUUAAUUUGUCUCCCUAGUUCAUUCAUUCUCCCUAAUUAUCAUGUACUACCACUCAAAAGAAUUGUCUACAUUUCCCACUUCCUUUCUCCCCUAUGAAAAGGGUAAAUAAACUUUUGUACCCCAUUUGGAGGUUAGGCAUGUUAAUAAAAUGUGUAUGCCUUUUCUCCUCCUGCCUUUUGUCAGGUAAUUUUCGGUAAACUUUCAGAGGGCAAAGGGGAAGUUUGCCUUUCAUCCUUACAGUCUGGUACUGUACACUUAGUAACAAAUCACUCUGUUCAUUCUGAGGGCUAUGAAUGGGAUCUUGGGACAGUUGACAAAAAGCCAG